rnacentral:rRNA from 1 species
UAGGGAAUCUUCCACAAUGGACGCAAGUCUGAUGGAGCAACGCCGCGUGAGUGAAGAAGGUUUUCGGACCGUAAAGCUCUGUUGUUGGUGAAGAAGGAUAGAGGUAGUAACUGGCCUUUAUUUGACGGUAAUCAACCAGAAAGUCACGGCUAACUACGUGCCAGCAGCCGCGGUAAUACGUAGGUGGCAAGCGUUGUCCGGAUUUAUUGGGCGUAAAGCGAGCGCAGGCGGAAGAAUAAGUCUGAUGUGAAAGCCCUCGGCUUAACCGAGGAAUUGCAUCGGAAACUGUUUUCUUGAGUGCAGAAGAGGAGAGUAGAACUCCAUGUGUAGCGGUGGAAUGCGUAGAUAUAUGGAAGAAUACCAGUGGCGAAGGCGGCUCUCUGGUCCUGCAACUGACGCUGAGGCUCGAAAGCAUGGUAGCGAACAGGAUUAGAUACCCUUGGUAGUCCAUGCCGUA